rnacentral:rRNA from 2 species
AUAAUGACUCUCGGCAACGGAUAUCUAGGCUCUUGCAUCGAUGAAGAACGUAGCGAAAUGCGAUACUUGGUGUGAAUUGCAGAAUCCCGUGAACCAUCGAGUCUUUGAACGCAAGUUGCGCCCGAAGCCAUUAGGCUGAGGGCACGUCUGCCUGGGCGUCACAU